rnacentral:rRNA from 1 species
UACAGAGGGGGCGAGCGUUGUUCGGAAUUACUGGGCGUAAAGGGCGCGUAGGCGGCCCGCUAAGUCAGACGUGAAAUCCCUCGGCUUAACCGGGGAACUGCGUCUGAUACUGGAUGGCUUGAGAUUGGGAGAGGGAUGCGGAAUUCCAGGUGUAGCGGUGAAAUGCGUAGAUAUCAGGAGGAACACCGGUGGCGAAGGCGGGUCUCUGGGCCGAUACUGACGCUGAGGAGCGAAAGCGUGGGGGAGCGAACAGG